rnacentral:piRNA from 1 species
UAUUGACAUCUGCAGGUAUGCCAAGGAUA